AUAACAGGACGUCCUUAAAGUUAGCCAUGAAAUACCACACGGUAAUCACAGGCUUUUGUUUGACAUUUAUGAUCACAAGACUUUCAGGUGCUUCACCCAUUGACGAAGUCCAUCAGACUCCAACUGACUUGUACAAAAAACUGGAGCAAACAGCAGAAAUCGAUUGCUCGCACAAUAUCAACAACUACGAUCGGAUCCUGUGGUACAAACGGACGGCGGGCAGGCAGAUGGAGUUUCUAGGAUACAUGCUAGCAAACAUCGGCUAUCCGGAGGAGGGAGCGAAGGUAAAGAUCGACGGGAACGCCAACAAGGGCCAGACCUGCACGCUGACGAUGGACAGGCUCAACGUGAACAGCAGCGCAGUUUACUUCUGCGCUGCCAGUUACCACAGUGCUACAUGCAAAAAGUCCUCAGGGCAAAAACCUCGAGCUUUUGCUUCCCCAUCUCUCAGGUCCAUGCACCUGUGGUCUCUAACCGGUUUAUCAAGGUUUGGAUCUUUCUGUUGA